rnacentral:rRNA from 1 species
AGGCAGCAGUGGGGAAUAUUGCACAAUGGGCGCAAGCCUGAUGCAGCCAUGCCGCGUGUGUGAAGAAGGCCUUCGGGUUGUAAAGCACUUUCAGUCGUGAGGAAGGUAGUGUAGUUAAUAGCUGCAUUAUUUGACGUUAGCGACAGAAGAAGCACCGGCUAACUCCGUGCCAGCAGCCGCGGUAAUACGGAGGGUGCGAGCGUUAAUCGGAAUUACUGGGCGUAAAGCGCAUGCAGGUGGUUUGUUAAGUCAGAUGUGAAAGCCCGGGGCUCAACCUCGGAAUAGCAUUUGAAACUGGCAGACUAGAGUACUGUAGAGGGGGUAGAAUUUCAGGUGUAGCGGUGAAAAUGCGUAGAGAUCUGAAGGAAUACCGGUGGCGAAGGCGGCCCCCUGGACAGAUACUGACACUCAGAUGCGAAAGCGUGGGGAGCAAACAGGAUUAGAUACCCUGGUAG